rnacentral:rRNA from 1 species
UACGUAGGUGGCACGCGUUGUCCGGAAUUAUUGGGCGUAAAGCGCGCCCAGGUGGUUCUUUAAGUCUGAUGUGAAAGCCCACGGCUCAACCGUGGAGGGUCAUUGGAAACUGGGGAACUUGAGUGCAGAAGAGGAAAGUGGAAUUCCACGUGUAGCGGUGAAAUGCGUAGAGAUGUGGAGGAACACCAGUGGCGAAGGCGACUUUCUGGUCUGUAACUGACACUGAGGCGCGAAAGCGUGGGGAGCGAACAGG